UACGUAGGGGGCUAGCGUUGUCCGGAAUCAUUGGGCGUAAAGCGCGUGUAGGCGGUCCGGUAAGUCCGCUGUGAAAGUCGGGGGCUCAACCCUCGGAUGCCGGUGGAUACUGUCGGGCUUGAGUACGGAAGAGGCGAGUGGAACUCCUGGUGUAGCGGUGGAAUGCGCAGAUAUCAGGAAGAACACCGACGGCGAAGGCAGCUCGCUGGGACGGUACUGACGCUGAGGCGCGAAAGCGUGGGGAGCGAACAGG
rnacentral:rRNA from 1 species